rnacentral:rRNA from 1 species
GUCGAGCGAUUCUCUUUGGAGAAGAGCGGCGGACGGGUGAGUAACGCGUGGGUAACCUGCCCUGUACACACGGAUAACAUACCGAAAGGUAUGCUAAUACGAGAUAAUAUGCUUUUAUCGCAUGGUAGAAGUAUCAAAGCUUUUGCGGUACAGGAUGGACCCGCGUCUGAUUAGCUAGUUGGUAAGGUAACGGCUUACCAAGGCGACGAUCAGUAGCCGACCUGAGAGGGUGAUCGGCCACAUUGGAACUGAGACACGGUCCAAACUCCUACGGGAGGCAGCAGUGGGGAAUAUUGCACAAUGGGCGAAAGCCUGAUGCAGCAACGCCGCGUGAGCGAUGAAGGCCUUCGGGUCGUAAAGCUCUGUCCUCAAGGAAGAUAAUGACGGUACUUGAGGAGGAAGCCCCGGCUAACUACGUGCCAGCAGCCGCGGUAAUACGUAGGGGGCUAGCGUUAUCCGGAAUUACUGGGCGUAAAGGGUGCGUAGGUGGUUUCUUAAGUCAGAGGUGAAAGGCUACGGCUCAACCGUAGUAAGCCUUUGAAACUGGGAAACUUGAGUGCAGGAGAGGAGAGUGGAAUUCCUAGUGUAGCGGUGAAAUGCGUA